CUCGCCUCUGCCACAUUUGGAUCCCCCUCUCCCUACGCGAGCUCCGCCGCCAGGAUAGAGGCCUCCUCACCUUCCUGCCAAAUAGCGAGGUGACAUUACUGGGAGGAAGAAGGAAUAGUUCCUUCAAAACUUAGAAGAGUUCCCUGAAAAUAUGUUGAUCUAUGCAAUAAGGACAUGAAAAAAUGGUGAGGAAGCCUUCAAAAGUCUGUGCUGAACAAAAGCAGUAGUUAAAAUUUCUUAUCCUCUCUUGAAGGGCUGUCCCUGGCAGGCUUCUGGGAGCAGUAAUGGAAAACCUGCAAGUAAUCAAGACUUGGUCAGGAAUUGACAGUCCAUAGAUCCUUGAGGGACACCACUUGUCACCAAUCUCCAUCUGGACACUGGGCUGCUGAACACUAUUCUCUGGAUGCCAGCAGAGUCAAUUCUUCAUCUGCUGAACAGUCCACACAUCAAAUCAUGCAUGACUGUUCAGCGAGAAUGCGGAGAUUUGAAUAUAUGGUGUGGGGCAUACUCCAUCAUGGAAGGAUAUUAAGUUACAGCUUUGCAGUACUGACUGCAGUGUUAUUUUUCUGAAAGGAUUUAAUGGUACUAGGAUAUAUUUGUUCUUUUGAGCUAUCAUUGACUGUAGGACACUCUGCCUAAGUGGGGGUAAAGCAGCUCAAACCUUACCCUAUUUGUAAAAUUUAUGAGUAAUGGUUAGAGAAGGGGUUCAUGCUGCUUUUGGUUUUGAAGAGCGCUGAAACCAGCCUGAGUCUUUAAUCCCAAAACUAAACAUUCUGAGGAUGUGAAAAACAGUGUUCUGACAGCAACUGACAUUACUGAGGAGGCUGCAGACAAAGAUCCUGAUAAAAAAAACAACAAGUGAUUAUGCUGUAAUCAAUUUAAAGGUGCUGAGCUAGAGGCUGCUGAGCUGACACAGCUGGCCUAGAAUGUAUUUGACAGUCAAUGACUUUAUACUAUGAAAGCCUAGUCCCUCUUCUUACAGCAGGGAUUUGCAACAGUCAUUCCAGAGGUGUAUGUGGAGAUUCCUUCCUUAGGUGACAAUCCCCCUCAGGGAGGAGGAUCAGGGUUACUUUUCCCGUGGUCAUUGGUAUGGAUAAGUAACAUCUAUCUCCAUUUAAUAAUUAUCAAGCUAGCUUCAAAAUUAUUGAUUUAACAAACAGUGCACUCUCUGACUGAAGUUUUUUUGUCUCAUCACUAUAAUCAAUAAAAACAACUUACUUUGCUCAUAUAAAUGUAUUUGGUUUGCCAUCCUUAAUCUUCAAGACAAAGUCAUAUAAAGGUUCAGUCAUACCUGUGCAGUCCUUUAGACAUGAUUAUUGAUUAGUGACAUUAAUUAAUUAAUGAUUAUUGAUCCUGUGACUAGGAUUGGAUCCAGACGCACCUAGACUCUUAGAAGUACCUCUUAUAAGCAGUUCAGAAAGCAAGGUCUUUUCUGAGCCCUCUGUCACAAUGGGAAAGUUUAUUUGUUAAAUUUGGUCUGAAGCUUCCAUUCAGACCACAAUAUAUAAGAACCAAUUCCAGACCUCCCACCCUUUGUCAAUUCAGAUGUUUCUAAGUACCCAGGAAGCCAGACCAAAGUGUGCAUUGCCAAAUAAUUCCAGUUACCAUGCCCAACCUAGAAGCCUUCACAUUGCACCACAGGACUUGUUUCUCAGUUAAUGGGCAACAGAAUGGGAUAAAUGGGAUGUAGCUGCUUUUUGAAUGACAUAAUGUUUGAGUCCAACAAGGUCUUGUUCGUGAAGUCAUCAGACCACAUGUGAAAUCAACAAAGUAAUUUCUAUGGCCCCAGGUGCAAGAACUGCAUUCAGUCCUGCACACACUGCUGACAUUGUAGUUUUGCUAUGCUGUUGGAGAGGGAAGGAACAGUUUAAAAGGAAAACUGUAACUACUGUUAAUCCUGAGCUAUGUCAGGGUUGUUGUAGUUGUUUUCUUCUCUUGGGAACAAUGGGAGAGCCAUUGCCUUGGAAAACCCUCAUAGAAAAGGAUCCUCAGUGCUAUCAGCCCAUUCCUUGCUCCACCAUCUGACUGUGAUGAUCCCUGAGGCAUGGGAGAUCACUUGAUUGAGAAGCUUUAGGAACUCAGUGCCCAUCAAGGCCAUUUGUUCUUCCUUCUGAAUUGCUAAGAGCUCCUGCCUGACUGUAGGCAUGACAGUGCAAAUUGAAUUGUGUAACCCUUGCAGCUUUGGAUCUGACCUUCAUCUUCAGCCAGACUGUGAAUCUGUGGAUUCCUUGGCACAAGAUUGGCACUCUUUUGUCCAUUCAGGUUUUCUGAGGAAUUGGUGGUGGUCAUGUCUAUACAGAGAAGCUCAAGACUGUGCAGCUACCUGACAAGUAAUUAGCAUUUCAUGUGGCUAUGCAAAGUGUUUGUGACAAAUACAGGCCCUCAGAUGCUGACAAAAGCAAAUCCAAAUACUCAUUUUUGUACUAAAUAGUCUGCCUUAUGGAAGAGACACAACAGUAUUUCUUCAAAUGCAGUAGUUCCUUCUGAACUAUUCUUUUAAAAUUGUUAUCUUCUUGUCAUCUAUGAACCAGGGAAACACAAAAGAGGGUGGGAGAACAUUUGAAAAUUCCCUGCUAAAAAAAAGCAGUUUGCAAGCUCUUUACACAGCCUUGAUGGCCUUGGUGAACUGUUUGUGCUCCUAGCUUUUUGGUUCCAUUAGGCUGGAAAAACCUUCCAUUGGAGCUUGUGAGUAUAACAUCACAUAAUGUGACUUUUUUUGUUACAACAUAAGACAAAGAAACUUUAAUUCCUGGUGACCCAUAAAACACUCUUCAUUUAGCUUCCUUACGAGUACCUUAAGACUUAUAAAGAUUUCAAUUUGAGGCCAAUAUAUUGUGAACUCAAAAAGAAGCUUAAUCCAGUUAUUGGUAUCCUGGUUUUUUACAAAGCGUUGUACAAAAACUUCUUAGGAUUUUGUAAUGCUCUAAAUGCUGUCUAGUUUCUCUGGGAACAGAAUGACUGAAAACUCCCACAAGCUUUGA